UUUAUACGUCGAAUUUUGGUCGCGUCGAAUGCAAUUAAGACAAUAGAUGAUGAGAUGAUAAACCUCAUUAAGCUUCAUUAUCUAUUGUUUGAAUUGCAUUCGACGCGACCGAAAUUCGACGUAUAAA
rnacentral:miRNA from 1 species